UAUUCCAAGGCGCUUGAGAGAACUCAGGAGAAGGAACUCGGCAAAUUAGUACCGUAACUUCGGGAUAAGGUACGCCCCUAGUAGGUGAAAGUGUACAACUGGAGCCGAAUGGGGUCGCAGUGAAAAGGUGGCUGUGACUGUUUAACAAAAACACAGCACUCUGCAAACACGUCAAGUGGACGUAUAGGGUGUGACGCCUGCCCGGUGCCGGAAGGUUAAGUGAUGGGGUGCAAGCUCUUGAUCGAAGCCCCGGUAAACGGCGGCCGUAACAAUAACGGUCCUAAGGUAGCGAAAUUCCUUGUCGGGUAAGUUCCGACCUGCACGAAUGGCGUAACGAUGGCCACACUGUCUCCUCCUGAGACUCAGCGAAGUUGAAGUGUUUGUGAUGAUGCAAUCUCCCCGCUGCAAGACGGAAAGACCCCGUGCACCUUUACUGCAACUUUGCAUUGGACUUUGAUGAGAUUUGUGUAGGAUAGCUGGGAGACUUUGAAGUGGGGGCGCUAGCUCUCAUGGAGUCGCCGUUGAAAUACCAGCCUGAUGUUAUUGAGGUUCUAACCUGGAUCCGUAAUCCGGAUCGGGGACCGUGCAUGGUGGGCAGUUUGACUGGGGCGGUCUCCUCCCAAAGAGUAACGGAGGAGUGCGACGGUACGCUUAGCGCGGUCGGCUAUCGCGCUGUAUGUGCAAUGGCAAAAGCGUGCUUAACUGCGAGACGGACAUGUCGAGCAGGUGCGAAAGCAGGUCAUAGUGAUCCGGUGGUUCUGUAUGGAAGGGCCAUCGCUCAACGGAUAAAAGGUACGCCGGGGAUAACAGGCUGAUUCCUCCCAAGAGUUCAUAUCGACGGGGGAGUUUGGCACCUCGAUGUCGGCUCAUCACAUCCUGGGGCUGUAGCCGGUCCCAAGGGUAUGGCUGUUCGCCAUUUAAAGUGGUACGUGAGCUGGGUUCAAAACGUCGUGAGACAGUUUGGUCCCUAUCUGCAGUGGGCGUUGGAAGUUUGAGGGGGGCUGCUCCUAGUACGAGAGGACCGGAGUGGACGCAUCUCUGGUGUACCGGUUGUCACGCCAGUGGCAUCGCCGGGUAGCUAAAUGCGGAAGAGAUAAGCGCUGAAAGCAUCUAAGCGCGAAACUCGCCUCAAGAUGAGACUUCCCGGGAACUUGAUUCCCCUAAAGGGUCGCGGAAGACCACCGCGUUGAUAGGUCGGGUGUGUAAGAGCAGCAAUGCUUUGAGCUAACCGAUACUAAUUGCCCGUGAGGCUUGAUCCG
rnacentral:rRNA from 1 species